GUGCUGGUGGCCUAAUGGAUAAGGUGUUGGUUUCCGGAGCCGAAGAGUGGGGGUCGAGUCCCACCCAGGAUG
rfam:Echinococcus granulosus EG_S00306, whole genome shotgun sequence.